rnacentral:rRNA from 1 species
CCUACGGGAGGCAGCAGUGGGGAAUAUUGCACAAUGGGGGAAACCCUGAUGCAGCGACGCCGCGUGAGUGAAGAAGUAUCUCGGUACGUAAAGCUCUAUCGGCAGGGAAGAAAAUGACGGUACCUGACUAAGAAGCCCCGGCUAACUACGUGCCAGCAGCCGCGGUAGUACGUAGGGGGCAAGCGUUAUCCGGAUUUACUGGGUGUAAAGGGAGCGUAGACGGCAGAACAAGUCUGGAGUGAAAUCCCGGGGCUUAACCCCGGAACUGCUUUGGAAACUGUGCGGCUGGAGUGCAGGAGGGGUAAGCGGAAUUCCUAGUGUAGCGGUGAAAUGCGUAGAUAGUAGGAGGAACACCGGUGGCGAAGGCGGCUUACUGGACUGUAACUGACGUUGAGGCUCGAAAGCGUGGGGAGCAAACAGGAUUAGAUACCCUAGUAGUC